rnacentral:misc_RNA from 1 species
GAUGAAGAACGUAGCGAAAUGCGAUAAGUAAUGCGAAUUGCAGAAUUCCGUGAGUCAUCGAAUCUUUGAACGCACAUUGCGCCCUCUGGUAUUCCGGAGGGCAUGCCUGUCUGAGCGUCAUUGUCAACCCUCAAGCUCAGCUUGCUGUUGGGUCCCCGUCGUUGCUUUAACGGCGGACCCGAAAGGUAAUGGCAGAGUCCGUGAGACCCUAGACGCAGCGAGCUUCUAGCACGCGUCUGGACGUUUUUCGGGCUCGGUCUUAACUAGAUGAUAACUUCCGAUUGACCUCAGAUCAGGUAGGGAUACCCGCUGAACUUAAGCAUAUCAAUGCGGAGGA